CCCUUCACAAGGGGCCAUGAAGGGAAGAAAAACUAUUUCUCUUCAAAUAGCGUAGGUUGCAUCUAAAAUUUUCUAUUAAUCUACAUAAAUAAGAAUCAAAUUUUUACCUAAUUAGCAAUAGAACUAGAGAAUAAAUUUUUAAAAAUCUAAAAUCAAACCUUCACAGAGGUUCGAAAGUGCAGACCCUCUACUCGCAUACACGCC
rnacentral:lncRNA from 1 species